UACUAAAGAAAGAUAUGCCCUCAGUGCUGGAUCCCAAUUCUAAGGCAUUGUCAUUUCUAACAGUUUGAACCACAGUGUUAAACUCAGUUUUAACAAAACAGAUGAAAGACUUAAGCAGGAAAAAAACAUUGCUUUUAGAUCCCAUUAAGUGUGUCCAGGUUGCCCUAGAAAAAUCAUCAACUAUAGUAUUAUANNNNNNNNNNNNNNNNGAUCCCAUUAAGUGUGUCCAGGUUGCCCUAGAAAAAUCAUCAACUAUAGUAAGGAAGUAUCUAUAACCAGAAGAAGUAGAAGUGUGGUAAGGACCCCAAGUAUCCACAUGUAUUAAUUGAAAUGGUCCAGUAGUACUGAUACUGCUAUCAGGAAAAGGGAGUCUGGUUUGU
rnacentral:lncRNA from 1 species